UGAUAGGUCAUACUAAAUCUCUCUUUCACAGGAAAAACCUUUCUUCCUAUUUCGUUAACUUGUCCAAGUCCUAAACAUCUUUCCUAUUUGUGGAAGAGCUUCUUGUAACAAACUUUUGUUAAUGAUCUUUGAAAAGAAAUCUAGCUUUUUAAAAGAUUUCAUCUAGAUUUCUAACAGUUAUAGAUUGUAAGGAUAUUGAAAAUCCUAUUUUUAUGACUGUAUGCUCUUAUGACUGUGAAAUUCAUAUCAUUUUAUUUUCAUGACAUACAACUCUCAAUUAUAUUUUCAAUAAAAUAGUCCAG
rnacentral:lncRNA from 1 species